GAUGAACGCUGGCGGCGUGCCUAAUACAUGCAAGUCGAGCGAACGGACGAGGCGCUUGCUUUUCUGAUGUUAGCGGAGGGCGGGUGAAUAACACGUGGAUAAUCUACCUAUAAGACUGGGAUAACUUCGGGAAACCGGAGCUAAUACCGGAUAAUAUUUUGAACCGCAUGGGUCAAAAGUGAAAGACGGUCUUGCUGUCACUUAUAGAUGCAUCCGCGCUGCAUUAGCUAGUUGGUAAGGUAAUGGCUUACCAAGGCAACUAUGCGUAGCCGACGUCAUGGGGGGAUAGCCGACAUUGGAGCGUGGACGCGGACCUGACUACUACGGGAGGCACCAGUAUGCUAUCGUACGCAAUGGGCGGAAGCCUUGCAGAGUGACGCCGCGUGUGAGAUGGAAGUCUUCCGAUCGUAAUGCUCUGUUACUAGGGAUAAACAGAUUUGGAAUGUACUGUGGCGUUCGUGACGGUAACGGAUCAGAAAGCCCCGGCUAACUACGUG
rnacentral:rRNA from 1 species